GGUUAAGUUAGAAAGGGCGCACGGUGGAUGCCUUGACACUAGGAGUCGAUGAAGGACGGGACUAACGCCGAUAUGCUUCGGGGAGCUGUAAGUAAGCUUUGAUCCGAAGAUUUCCGAAUGGGGAAACCCACUAUACGUAAUGGUAUGGUAUCCUUACCUGAAUACAUAGGGUAUGGAAGACAGACCCAGGGAACUGAAACAUCUAAGUACCUGGAGGAAGAGAAAGCAAAUGCGAUUUCCUGAGUAGCGGCGAGCGAAACGGAAUCUAGCCCAAACCAAGAGGCUUGCCUCUUGGGGUUGUAGGACAUUCUAUACGGAGUUACAAAGGAACGAGGUAGACGAAGCGACCUGGAAAGGUCCGUCACAGAGGGUAACAACCCCGUAGUCGAAACUUCGUUCUCUCUUGAAUGUAUCCUGAGUACGGCGGAACACGUGAAAUUCCGUCGGAAUCUGGGAGGACCAUCUCCCAAGGCUAAAUACUCCCUAGUGAUCGAUAGUGAACCAGUACCGUGAGGGAAAGGUGAAAAGCACCCCGGAAGGGGAGUGAAAGAGAUCCUGAAACCGUGUGCCUACAAAUAG
rnacentral:rRNA from 1 species